CAGUCGCCGCGGUAAUACGUAGGGUGCAAGCGUUAAUCGGAAUUACUGGGCGUAAAGCGUGCGCAGGCGGUUUUGUAAGAAAGAGGUGAAAUCCCCGGGCUCAACCUGGGAACUGCCUUUGUGACUGCAAGGCUAGAGUACGGCAGAGGGGGAUGGAAUUCCGCGUGUAGCAGUGAAAUGCGUAGAUAUGCGGAGGAACACCGAUGGCGAAGGCAAUCCCCUGGGCCUGUACUGACGCUAAUGCACGAAAGCGUGGGGAGCAAACAGGAUUAGAUACCCCGGUAGUCCCUGUCUCUUAUAC
rnacentral:rRNA from 1 species